rnacentral:rRNA from 1 species
UACGAGGGGGGCAAGCGUUGUUCGGAAUUAUUGGGCGUAAAGGGCGCGUAGGCGGUCUGUUGCGUCCGCUGUGAAAACCCGGGGCUUAACCCCUGGCUUGCAGUGGAUACGGACAGACUAGAGGUAGGUAGGGGAGAAUGGAAUUCCCGGUGUAGCGGUGAAAUGCGCAGAUAUCGGGAGGAACACCGGUGGCGAAGGCGGUUCUCUGGGCCUUACCUGACGCUGAGGAGCGAAAGCGUGGGGAGCGAACAGG